rnacentral:rRNA from 1 species
UUAAGUCCCGCAACGAGCGCAACCCUUGUCACUAGUUGCCAUCAUUUAGUUGGGCACUCUAGUGAGACUGCCGGUGACAAACCGGAGGAAGGUGGGGAUGACGUCAAGUCCUCAUGGCCCUUAUGGGUAGGGCUUCACACGUCAUACAAUGGUCGGUACAGAGGGUUGCCAAGCCGCGAGGUGGAGCCAAUCCCUUAAAGCCGAUCGUAGUCCGGAUCGUAGUCUGCAACUCGACUACGUGAAGUCGGAAUCGCUAGUAAUCGCAGAUCAGCAUGCUGCGGUGAAUACGUUCCCGGGUCUU